rnacentral:rRNA from 1 species
CCCUUAGAUGUUCUGGGCUGCACACGUGCUACACUGGCAGGUUCAGCGAGCUUCAUGCCCUGAUCUGAAAGGAAAGGGAAAUCUUUUCAAAACCUGCCGUGCUUGGGAUAGAUGUUUGCAAUUAUUCAUCUUCAACGAGGAUUGCCUUGUAAGCGCACGUCAUCAGCGUGCAUUGAAUACGACCCUGUAUUCUGUACACACCGCCCGUCGCUCCUACCGAUUGAAGUUUUCGGUGAGUUGACAGGAGGAUUUUUUUGAAACUGGUUCGCCAGUGGAUUUUAGAUCCAAAUGCCAACGAAUCGAUGGCUUUAGAGGAAGGAGAAGUCGUAACA